UAUUUGAAAAACUAUGAAGUUUAAUCGUUAAUCAAUCAAACAUUAAAGGGUGAAACAAAAAAAAAAUCAAUUAUACAAAAGCCAUCAAAACCAAAAAUAACAAUUAAAUUAACGAGGAUCAAAACUAAAAUUAAAAAUAAAUUAGAAGACAACUAUAAUUUUUUUUUAUCGAAUGGUGGAAUUGAAAAGAAGAAUCAAUUUAACAAAAUAACAAAAAAAAUCAAAAGAGACGGG
rnacentral:lncRNA from 1 species